GGGUGAUAAGCUCAGCUGGGAGAGCACCUCCCUUACAAGGAGGGGGUCGGCGGUUCGAUCCCGUCAUCACCCACCA
rnacentral:tRNA from 3 species